UACGUAGGGCGCAAGCGUUAUCCGGAAUUAUUGGGCGUAAAGAGCUCGUAGGCGGUUUGUCGCGUCUGCUGUGAAAGUCCGGGGCUCAACUCCGGAUCUGCGGUGGGUACGGGCAGACUAGAGUGCGGUAGGGGAGACUGGAAUUCCUGGUGUAGCGGUGGAAUGCGCAGAUAUCAGGAGGAACACCGAUGGCGAAGGCAGGUCUCUGGGCCGCAACUGACGCUGAGGCGCGAAAGCUAGGGGAGCAAACAGG
rnacentral:rRNA from 1 species